GACGAACGCUGGCGGCGUGCUUAACACAUGCAAGUCGAACGAAGUGGCGAACGGGUGAGUAACGCGUAAUCAACCUGCCCUUCAGAGGGGGACAACAGUUGGAAACGACUGCUAAUACCGAAUACUGAAGGAGGGGAUUGCGUCUGAUUAGCUAGUUGGAGGGGUAACGGCCCAACAAGGCGAUGAUCAGUAGCCGGUCUGAGAGGAAGAACGGCCACAAUGGGACUUAGACACGGCCCAGACUGCUGCGGGAAGCAGCAGUGGGGAAACUUCCGAAAUGGACGAAAGUCUGACGGAGCAACGCCGCGUGAGUGAUGACGGCCUGCGGGUUGUAAAGCUCUGUUAAUCGGGACGCGGUACCGGAAUAGGAAGCCACGGCUAACUCCGUGCCAGCAGCCGCGGUAAUUC
rnacentral:rRNA from 1 species